rnacentral:rRNA from 1 species
AAANGNNUGAUCUUGGCUCAGGAAGUUNGUAACAAGGUAACNAGUANAGUUUGAUNAUGGNUNAGNAAGUCGUAACAANGUAANCAGUANAGUUUGANNUUGCGNNNGAUAACUAUUGNAAANNAUNNNUAAUACCNNAUAAUAUUNAUUAUUGCAUGAUAAUUGAUUGAAAGAUGCUAUUGCAUCACUACCAGAUGGACCUGCGUUGUAUUAGCUAGUAGGUGAGGUAACGGCUCACCUUAGGCGACGAUACAUNAGCCGNUACCUGAGAGGGUGAUCGGCCACACUGGGACUGAAACACGGCCCAGACUCCUANCGGGAGGCAGCAGUAGGGAAUCUUCGACAAUGGACGAAAGUCUGACCGAGCAACGCCGCGNAUGAGUGAAGAAGGUUUUCGGAUCGUAAAGCUCUGUUGUAAGAGAAGAACGGGUGUGAGAGUGGAAAGUUCACACUGUGACGGUAUCUUACCAGAAAGGGACGGCUAACUACGUGCCAGCAGCCGCGGUAAUACGUAGGUCCCGAGCGUUGUCCGGAUUUAUUGGGCGUAAAGCGAGCGCAGGCGGUUAGAUAAGUCUGAAGUUAAAGGCUGUGGCUUAACCAUAGUACGCUUUGGAAACUGUUUAACUUGAGUGCAGAAGGGGAGAGUGGAAUUCCAUGUGUAGCGGUGAAAUGCGUAGAUAUAUGGAGGAACACCGGUGGCGAAAGCGGCUCUCUGGUCUGUAACUGACGCUGAGGCUCAAAAGCGUGGGGAGCGAACAGGAUUAGAUACCCUGGUAGACCACGCCGUAAACGAUGAGUGCUAGGUGUAAGACCAUUUCCGGGGCUUAGUGCCGCNAAGCUAACGCAUUAAGAACUCCGCCUGGGGAGUACGACNNCGCAAGGUUGAUAACUCAAAGGAAUUGACGGGUGNNGCCCNUUGNNCAACNAANAGNNACUGGUGAAGNCCAANAAUUANNNNGUUUUGNGUUNUAAUUCCAAGCAACNNGCGGNAAGAACCUUACCAGGUCUUNNGACANUAUCCCGAUAGNUCUUCCUGCUCUAAAAAAAGAGUUUUACUUCGGUACAUCGGUGACAGGUGGUGCAUGGUUGUCGUCAGCUCGUGUCGUGAGAUGUUGGGUUAAGUCCCGCAACGAGCGCAACCCUUAUUGUUAGUUGCCAUCAUUCAGUUGGGCACUCUAGCGAGACUGCCGGUAAUAAACCGGAGGAAGGUGGGGAUGACGUCAAAUCAUCAUGCCCCUUAUGACCUGGGCUACACACGUGCUACAAUGGCUGGUACAACGAGUCGCAAGUCGGUGACGGCAAGCUAAUCUCUUAAAGCCAGUCUCAGUUCGGAUUGUAGGCUGCAACUCGCCUACAUGAAGUCGGAAUCGCUAGUAAUCGCGGAUCAGCACGCCGCGGUNAAUACGUUCCNUAGNNUUGUANNCANCUCCGUCANUCCAACAGAGUAANCACUUNNAUUUUUCGUGCNNCGCAUNUCGUAA